rnacentral:rRNA from 1 species
UACGUAGGUGGCAAGCGUUAUCCGGAAUUACUGGGCGUAAAGCGCACGCAGGCGGUUUCUUAAGUUUGACGUGAAAGCUCCCGGCUUAACUGGGAGAGGUCGUUGAAUACUGAGAGACUUGAGGCAAUGAGAGGGGUGUAGAAUUCCCGGUGUAGUGGUGGAAUGCGUAGAUAUCGGGGGGAAUACCAGUGGCGAAAGCGGCACCCUAGCGUUGUUCUGACGCUCAUGUGCGAAAGCGUGGGGAGCGAACGGG